rnacentral:lncRNA from 1 species
UUUUGGGUAUCUACACAUUAGUCCUACACUUUAUAUGACAAUGUAUUGGCCCCCUUAACAAUAAUGUCCAUAAGACCACUAAUAUAGGCCAAACCAAAAUAUAGCACAUAACAUAUAAUUAAUCCAUAUAUUGUCCAUAUGUGUGUAGUAUAAGUCCAAAUGUCUAACAAUCUCACACUUGGACUAUAUACUCAUGCAUAUGUACAAACCUUAGCAUCAUAUGUUACAUUAUAACUUUAUGAGCUCAUAAUUGCUAUCAUAAUAAAAUUGUCAUGAACAAUCCGGUCCAUCAAUCAUACCAACAUAGGAUCUAAGAGAUUUUAGUUACUCUUGCGUAACUAGACCCAACAUAGAUCACGUAUAUCAAUAUAACCAACGACAUGGAUCAAGUAUAUGUGUGUAGCAUGGAAAUAACAUACAACAUAGAUCACGUAUAUCAAUAUAACCAACAACAUGGAUCAAGUAUAGGUGUGUAGAAUGGAAAUAACAUAAAGUGUGGUCUGAAAUAGAAUGUCUAUUUCCAACUGGUUCUCUUAAUUGAGAUCAAUCAUAAACCUUAAGAAUA